rnacentral:lncRNA from 1 species
GUACGGAAGCUACUGGGGCAGGUGAUGCCUACCCAGUCUCUCUCCUCUGUUGAACAAAGGAUCUGUUAAAAUUGGAAGGGCUUAACGUCUUCUUCAGAAAAGUGACGCAUUUGUUACUGGGAUGGUAAGGUUCAGCAAAGUCUAUGUCAUUCUCUAAUCCUUUUGAUCCAGCGGAUUCUUUGGAGGAAUUUGAAUACAUAUUGGAUUUUGCAUCCAGGUUUGCAAGAGGAAAAUACAAAGGUGACUUCUGGGCCUGCUGGAGGUGGAGGGUAGAGGAUGGACAGCUGACAUCUAGUCACAGAGGAAAGAACACAGAAAGAGAUCUCCAGUUAAAGCUGAUAGAUUGAACCACAGACAACCCACCUCCUUCUAAAAUCCCUCUAGAACAAUGGUUUAAAAAAAGUGCUUUAACAUAAAACUUCAAAAUCAAAAAGAUAAGGAAAAUGAUGAAAACCACUCAGAUAAGAAGAGAGGAUAUUUAUGCAGAGGCUGCUGUCGUUGGGAGUCCGCCACCAUACCACUAUACUUUGGUGAGACUUGAAGGCAGGCAGGGAGUGGAAACACUUUAUGCUGUAGUGAAAAAAGGGGAAGGCUUCGGUAUGCUCUGACUGGAGAUCAUUGUCAUGGGGAAACUGCAGGUGGGCUAACUAGAGGCUGGGCUUCUUGUGUAAUGGUUUGGCUUUCUCUGGUUGGUCCUGUGUUGAAAAUAGGGGCAAAAUAUAGGGAAGCUGACUCAUUGACCAAGCCCUGCCCAGGCUGGCCAAUUGCAGAGGUUGUGGGUCAGAGUUCUAUUGUCAUAUAUGGUCUGGCUACUGUCUGUUUAUAUAAUCCGUCUCUCAGAGAACAGUAGAGGAGAUCAAAUUAUUAACAUUUUGGAAGCUGGAAAGCAGGAGGAUAGUGUGAGCUGAAUUAGCAGACUUGCCAUCUAUCAAAGGGGAUAGCCAAAAGCAAGCCAGAUUUGCCCCAGAGAACCACCAAAGGUUCAAGAAUUGGCAGCACCAGGUACCCCCAGAAGCAGGGAUAAAGUGGGGGCUGAAAUUGGACAGUUGGUUCAAAGUCUAUUUCAGAAGCAUUAGACCACUGGAUUUCUUCCCCAGCUCCCAAAUGACUGCCUGGUGCAAAAGACUCAGGAUUGAUUCCCUGGAGAGGGUAGGUAGUUCUUUGUCUAGUUAAGGAUGGGAUGCCAUAACAAACAUGCCAAUUCAGUGAAAGUACCUACUUUCAAGACUCCUGCUUAACUCCCCUAAAUCAGCAGCCAAUGUUAGAAGCCAAGUGUUAAAGUUUUUCAGAUAAUUUUGCUAUAAGCCUAUGGAGAAAUUUCAUUACCAUCUCAUAGCAAGGCCUAUAGUAUAAGAGCAGGCCUAUAGUAGCAUAUGGGGGAAAGUCUAAAAGACUUUGAAAUGGACCAAAAGAUUAUUGAGAAAUGGAAAACUGCAUUGUUUUAAGUAUCCCUUUCCAACUUAUCAGAUUCUGUGGGGUUUAUACCUUUCAUUGUCUUUGAGGUAUUUAACAAUUCUAAAGAGAUAGACUCUAACUUGUAGAAAACUAAGAGUAACAUAAAUAAUUAUCGUCUUUAGAUAUACAAAUAAAUUCUGUUCUGAGAA